AGAGUUUGAUCCUGGCUCAGAAUGAACGCUGGCGGCGUGCUUAACACAUGCAAGUCGAACGCGAACGUCACUUCGGUGGCUAGUAGAGUGGCGAACGGGUGAGUAACACGUGGACAACCUGCCCGGAUGUGGGGGACAACUUUUGGAAACGGAAGCUAAUACCGCAUUCGCUCGGAGAUCGCAUGGUCUCCGUGGAAAGGCCGCUUCGGCGGUCGCAUCCGGAGGGGUCCGCGGCUGAUUAGCUAGUUGGUGAGGUAACGGCUCACCAAGGCGACGAUCAGUAGCCGGCCUGAGAGGGCGAUCGGCCACACUGGAACUGAGACACGGUCCAGACUCCUACGGGAGGCAGCAGUGGGGAAUAUUGGACAAUGGGGGAAACCCUGAUCCAGCAACGCCGCGUGGAGGAUGAAGGCCUUCGGGUUGUAAACUCCUGUCAGGUGGAACGAAAAGCUCCGUCCAAUAAAUGGAGUCUAUGACGGUACCACCAGAGGAAGCCCCGGCUAACUCCGUGCCAGCAGCCGCGGUAAUACGGAGGGGGCGAGCGUUAUUCGGAAUUAUUGGGCGUAAAGGGCGCGUAGGCGGUCUUUUAAGUCAGGGUGAAAUCCCUCGGCUCAACCGAGGAACUGCCUCUGAAACUGAA
rnacentral:rRNA from 1 species